AUCUACAGCCAAACCACCCUAAAUGUACUGCAUCUGCACUAGAAAGCUAAGCAGGGUGGGUCCUAGUUAGUACAUGAAUUGGAGGAUUUAUGAUG
rnacentral:rRNA from 14 species